AAUGACUUCACCAGAACAAGAUGGCGGUGCCCACAUGACGGAUAGAGAGUUAUUUAUUGAGAGAGUUUAUGAGUGCAAGCGAGCGGGAGGAGAGAGGAAGUGGAUCAGAUGUUGCUUCACAGGUCAGAUGCUGGAGACGCUCAGUGGGUGAUGUGUGAGUCAGUGGAUGAUCUUCAGCUUCCUGGGAGGUCGUGUGUGGAUCCGUCUGCUGGUUCCUGAGAAACGAGUCACCGACCACACAACACACACAGUGUGAGUCUGAGCAAUUUUAAUAUCUCUGAGAAAAAGUACAGACAUGAUUCUUUAGGGUCGUUGUUGUUGUAAGUAAAGGAAAAGUAAAGUGUGUUGUUAUUACUGCAUUUUAUUCACCCUGUUGUUGCCAGUCGUGUGUGUGUGUGUGUGUGUGUGUGUGUGUGUCUGUUUGCAUCCUGAGGAAGUGACUGAAAAACAGGAUGUAGAUGAAAUACAAAGGUGUUCAGCUGCUGACUUGACUUCCGGCCUCCGUAUGAUUUCCACCUGUUGAGAGGAUGCGUUCCACCUGAGUCUCUGCAGCUUCCGGUCUCCUCACUCUGCAGCUUGUCCUUGUCUCUUGGGUCUUCUCUGUGUCUGCUGGAC